AAGGACUACUAGGGGUGCCGAUUUGUGGCUGAGAUGAAUGGAUAUUCAGACCCUCUGAACCUGAUUUGGAUGAAACCAACGUAGGGAAGUAGCACAUGGACACG
rnacentral:ncRNA from 1 species